UUGGUUGAUUCCCUUUGAAAACAACAACAACAACAACAACAAUACCAUUCGUUUUCGCUAAAUAAUUCUUUUUGAAACAUAUUUACAAACGAAGAUGAAUGGAGGAAACAAAUAUGCUAUCCACGAAUAGUUCACUUCUAUUACUUUUAGUAGUUCUUCAUCAGACAGUUGGGAAACAAUUUACGGAAGGAUCUGUCUCCGAUACACACAAUAGCAAACCGUCGAUAAGAAACAAUGAUCCAUACACCACUGUCAUAUCACAAAAUAAUUCAGGUUCAUUUGAUUUACAGAGCUUGGAAGACCUUAUUGAAACAUGUUUGAUAAAUGGAACAAAAUCACAUAAAAGAUGUUACUAUCUGCGCAAAUACAUCUGGAAAAGGGAUAGAUUUUUAUCAAAAUGGAAGCUAUCUAACCAUGUUCAGAGAAACUUUAAAAAAAGAAAACUUUUAACAGUGAUUUCAGAAAAUACUUCUAGUGUUGAAAUCAAGGAUAUUUCAAUUGCUGGAAUCAAUCAGACCAGCAAGAAAGAAUCAUUUCAAACUGAUGAAGAAUACACACACUUUAUAAAGGUUGUAAACAAUCAUUUUUCCUUAGAUCCACAGCGAGCUCUACUUUCAUUAAUUUUUCUUAUGGGAUUUGUAAUGGUUACAGUAAAAGUUUGCAAAAUGAAAGUCACAAGUCAAUUCAUGGAAUGGCCUCAUGAUUAUCAAAACGAUGUGCAUUACAUGGAAAUUUAUGAUAUCAUAAGAAUGAAAAAAGAAUAUUUACCAAAGGCAAUAUUGAACUGGAACAGAAAAGUUAGGAGAAAAUUACAGAAAGAGAGAAAUGUAAGAACUGAAACUUGCAUUGCAGUGUCCUCUAAUGAAUCUGAUAAAGAAAGGUUGAUUCAACCCAGAGUUUAUGAUUUUUGAAAAUUAUACGCAAAACAAAUUUCAUUAAAAAAAUAUUCUAUUAUUUAUGUAAAUAUGGUUAUAACAGUAGCUUUUUAAGUUUUAAUUAUUCAAAACUUUGUAUUACUUACAUGCUUAUAUUGAACUGUUAAUGUCAUGUUUUGUUACAAUGAAAGAAACAUACAGGGUAAGUUGAAGUGACUUAUACUGUCAGAUUUGAUUUUUGAAUAAUUGUGAUAUACAACAAGUAUGAAGAGUGGUUAGAAAUGUAUGUUUUUUACCACCCAAUCUUUGAUGUACAAUUAUGUUGUCACAUUAGAAGAAUAACACACCUUUUAGGAUGCCCAGGAUUAUAUUAAGCUUGGAUGUUUGAUCUUUUAAAUCAAAUAUUUUCUUCACAAAAUUAAUUGAAAGAGAACUGACAGUGUUUAAGAAAUCAGCAUUUAGGGAGUUCGAGAGAACUUUUCACGUAUUUGAAAUUUGUCAUAAAAUGCUUUAAAUUUGAUUAAUGUAAACACGGGAACUUAAUAGCUUUAGGUAAAAAAAAAACAAGAAUAAAAUUACAGACAGAAAAUAAGUAACCCGUAACUGGGCUCGAACCACUGACUCUUGGUGUUAAAGUCAAGCACUGAAACUACUUGGCAAUUCCUGCGUAUAGUAUAAUUGGAGAAUUGUGUUCAUUACAUUGCAAUUCCUGCUUAUAGUAUAAUUGGAGAAUUGUGUUCAUAACAUGAAACUACUUGGCAAUUCCUGCUUAUAGUAUAAUUGGAGAAUUGUGUACAUUACAUGAAACUUGGUCAGAACAUUUUUUCUACUGAUAUUUUGGGCUGCACAAAAUCUCAGAUGAGCAACUUUUGGCUCACUUGUUCAAUAUAAACUAACUGUCAUAUAAUUAAACAGGACUUGUUCCCUGAUUGUGAGUGGGGGAUUUUUCAAGUGUGUUAGUAAAUGCCAUUCUUUGUUUGCAUAAAGGUACUUAACAGCUCCAUAAGAAUGACAAAAUAAUAUCUAAGAAAUAACAACAGUAAAAUCCUAGCUGGACUAGGACCAGUGUCCUUUGAAUUAAAAGGCUUUGGCCUAUACCAAUCGAGCAGCCAGACUGUCAUAUAAAGAAGCCUUUAUAUAAAAAUGUUAGAAAAUUAUCAUUCUCAACAAUCUAAGUUUCAUUUAGACACAAAUAUUUAUUUUCAGUUAUUUUACAGGAUUUACUGGUAACUGGAACAAAGGUUGUGUAUACAUUACAUGUUGCUCUUCUUCAAAGUAAGAGUGAACAGUUGUUUUGCCAUUUCAGUAUAAUCAUUUUUAGUUUGUGUUAAAACAGAUGACAUUUUAGAUAGUUCUUUACUUUUUUGUGGGACUCCGUUAGUUAUAAAAUAAAAUGCUAAAAUUGUA